rnacentral:rRNA from 1 species
GAUGAACGCUGGCGGCGUGCCUAAUACAUGCAAGUCGAGCGAAUGGAUUAAGAGCUUGCUCUUAUGAAGUUAGCGGCGGACGGGUGAGUAACACGUGGGUAACCUGCCCAUAAGACUGGGAUAACUCCGGGAAACCGGGGCUAAUACCGGAUAACAUUUUGAACCGCCUGGUUCGAAAUUGAAAGGCGGCUUCGGCUGUCACUUAUGGAUGGACCCGCGUCGCAUUAGCUAGUUGGGGAGGUAACGGCUCACCAAGGCAACGAUGCGUAGCCGACCUGAGAGGGUGAUCGGCCACACUGGGACUGAGACACGGCCCAGACUCCUACGGGAGGCAGCAGUAGGGAAUCUUCCGCAAUGGACGAAAGUCUGGCGGAGCAACGCCGCGUGAGUGAUGAAGGCUUUCGGGUCGUAAAACUCUGUUGUUAGGGAAGAACAAGUGCUAGUUGAAUAAGCUGGCACCUUGACGGUACCUAACCAGAAAGCCACGGCUAACUACGUGCCAGCCGCCGCAGUAA